rnacentral:rRNA from 1 species
CGAGUCUUAAUUGGGCGUUAAGUUGCAGGGUAUAGACCCGAAACCCGGUGAUCUAGCCAUGGGCAGGUUGAAGGUUGGGUAACACUAACUGGAGGACCGAACCGACUAAUGUUGAAAAAUUAGCGGAUGACCUGUGGCUGGGGGUGAAAGGCCAAUCAAACCGGGAGAUAGCUGGUUCUCCCCGAAAGCUAUUUAGGUAGCGCCUCGUGAAUUCAUCUCCGGGGGUAGAGCACUGUUUCGGCUAGGGGGCCAUCCCGGCUUACCAACCCGAUGCAAACUGCGAAUACCGGAGAAUGUUAUCACGGGAGACACACGGCGGGUGCUAACGUCCGUCGUGAAGAGGGAAACAACCCAGACCGCCAGCUAAGGUCCCAAAGUCAUGGUUAAGUGGGAAACGAUGUGGGAAGGCCCAGACAGCCAGGAUGUUGGCUUAGAAGCAGCCAUCAUUUAAAGAAAGCGUAAUAGCUCACUGGUCGAGUCGGCCUGCGCGGAAGAUGUAACGGGGCUAAACCAUGCACCGAAGCUGCGGCAGCGAACGUAUCACCCAAGACAACUUUACGGAGUUGACGAUUGACGGAGCGAAGCGACGUCAAAGCGUUCAUUAAAGUCGAGUUGGCUUAGGGAUACGUUCGUUGGGUAGGGGAGCGUUCUGUAAGCCUGUGAAGGUGUGUCGUGAGGCAUGCUGGAGGUAUCAGAAGUGCGAAUGCUGACAUAAGUAACGAUAAAGCGGGUGAAAAGCCCGCUCGCCGGAAGACCAAGGGUUCCUGUCCAACGUUAAUCGGGGCAGGGUGAGUCGACCCCUAAGGCGAGGCCGAAAGGCGUAGUCGAUGGGAAACGGGUUAAUAUUCCCGUACUUGGUGUUACUGCGAAGGGGGGACGGAGAAGGCUAUGUUGGCCGGGCGACGGUUGUCCCGGUUUAAGCGUGUAGGUGUGUGUUCCAGGUAAAUCCGGUUCACUUUAACACUGAGGCGUGACGACGAGGCACUACGGUGCUGAAGCAACAAAUGCCCUGCUUCCAGGAAAAGCCUCUAAGCAUCAGGUAACACGAAAUCGUACCCCAAACCGACACAGGUGGUCAGGUAGAGAAUACCAAGGCGCUUGAGAGAACUCGGGUGAAGGAACUAGGCAAAAUGGUGCCGUAACUUCGGGAGAAGGCACGCUGACACGUAGGUGAAGUGAUUUACUCAUGGAGCUGAAGUCAGUCGAAGAUACCAGCUGGCUGCAACUGUUUAUUAAAAACACAGCACUGUGCAAACACGAAAGUGGACGUAUACGGUGUGACGCCUGCCCGGUGCCGGAAGGUUAAUUGAUGGGGUCAGCGUAAGCGAAGCUCCUGAUCGAAGCCCCGGUAAACGGCGGCCGUAACUAUAACGGUCCUAAGGUAGCGAAAUUCCUUGUCGGGUAAGUUCCGACCUGCACGAAUGGCGUAAUGAUGGCCAGGCUGUCUCCACCCGAGACUCAGUGAAAUUGAACUCGCUGUGAAGAUGCAGUGUACCCGCGGCAAGACGGAAAGACCCCGUGAACCUUUACUAUAGCUUGACACUGAACAUUGAGCCUUGAUGUGUAGGAUAGGUGGGAGGCUUUGAAGUGUGGACGCCAGUCUGCAUGGAGCCGACCUUGAAAUACCACCCUUUAAUGUUUGAUGUUCUAACGUGGACCCGUAAUCCGGGUUGCGGACAGUGUCUGGUGGGUAGUUUGACUGGGGCGGUCUCCUCCUAAAGAGUAACGGAGGAGCACGAAGGUUGGCUAAUCCUGGUCGGACAUCAGGAGGUUAGUGCAAUGGCAUAAGCCAGCUUGACUGCGAGCGUGACGGCGCGAGCAGGUGCGAAAGCAGGUCAUAGUGAUCCGGUGGUUCUGAAUGGAAGGGCCAUCGCUCAACGGAUAAAAGGUACUCCGGGGAUAACAGGCUGAUACCGCCCAAGAGUUCAUAUCGACGGCGGUGUUUGGCACCUCGAUGUCGGCUCAUCACAUCCUGGGGCUGAAGUAGGUCCCAAGGGUAUGGCUGUUCGCCAUUUAAAGUGGUACGCGAGCUGGGUUUAGAACGUCGUGAGACAGUUCGGUCCCUAUCUGCCGUGGGCGCUGGAGAACUGAGGGGGGCUGCUCCUAGUACGAGAGGACCGGAGUGGACGCAUCACUGGUGUUCGGGUUGUCAUGCCAAUGGCACUGCCCGGUAGCUAAAUGCGGAAGAGAUAAGUGCUGAAAGCAUCUAAGCACGAAACUUGCCCCGAGAUGAGUUCUCCCUGAGACUUAGAGUCUCCUGAAGGAACGUUGAAGACGACGACGUUGAUAGGCCGGGUGUGUAAGCGCAGCGAUGCGUUGAGCUAACCGGUACUAAUGAACCGUGAGGCUUAACCUUACA